rnacentral:rRNA from 1 species
UCAGGACGAACGCUGGCGGCGUGCUUAACACAUGCAAGUCGAACGGUAAGGCCCUUUCGGGGGUACACGAGUGGCGAACGGGUGAGUAACACGUGAGUAACCUGCCCUUGACUCUGGGAUAACAUCUGGAAACAGUUGCUAAUACUGGAUAUGAGCUGCCCUGGCAUCGGGGUGGUUGGAAAGUUUUUCGGUCAAGGAUGGACUCGCGGCCUAUCAGCUUGUUGGUGAGGUAGUGGCUCACCAAGGCUUCGACGGGUAGCCGGCCUGAGAGGGCGACCGGCCACAUUGGGACUGAGAUACGGCCCAAACUCCUACGGGAGGCAGCAGUGGGGAAUAUUGCACAAUGGGCGGAAGCCUGAUGCAGCAACGCCGCGUGCGGGAUGACGGCCUUCGGGUUGUAAACCGCUUUCAUCCAUGACGAAGCUUUUGUGACGGUASYGUCAGAAGAAGCACCGGCUAACUMCGUGCCAGCAGCCGCGGUGAUACGUAGGGUGCGAGCGUUGUCCGGAUUUAUUGGGCGUAAAGAGCUUGUAGGCGGUUUGUUGCGUCGGGAGUGAAAACUCAGGGCUUAACCCUGAGCCUGCUUCCGAUACGGGCAGACUUGAGGAAGGUAGGGGAGAUUGGAAUUCCUGGUGAAGCGGUGGAAUGCGUAGAUAUCAGGAGGAACACCAGUGGCGAAGGCGGAUCUCUGGACCUUUCCUGACGCUGAGAAGCGAAAGCGUGGGGAGCAAACAGGCUUAGAUACCCUGGUAGUCCACGCCGUAAACGGUGGGUACUAGGUGUGGGGGACAUUCCACGUUCUCCGUGCCGCAGCUAACGCAUUAAGUACCCCGCCUGGGGAGUACGGCCGCAAGGCUAAAACUCAAAGGAAU